rnacentral:rRNA from 1 species
GACGAACGCUGGCGGCGUGCUUAACACAUGCAAGUCGAACGGAAAGGCCCUGCUUUUGUGGGGUGCUCGAGUGGCGAACGGGUGAGUAACACGUGAGUAACCUGCCCUUGACUUUGGGAUAACUUCAGGAAACUGGGGCUAAUACCGGAUAGGAGCUCCUGCUGCAUGGUGGGGGUUGGAAAGUUUCGGCGGUUGGGGAUGGACUCGCGGCUUAUCAGCUUGUUGGUGGGGUAGUGGCUUACCAAGGCUUUGAUGGGUAGCCGGCCUGAGAGGGUGACCGGCCACAUUGGGACUGAGAUACGGCCCAGACUCCUACGGGAGGCAGCAGUGGGGAAUAUUGCACAAUGGGCGGAAGCAUGAUGCAGCAACGCCGCGUGCGGGAUGACGGCCUUCGGGUUGUAAACCGCUUUCGCCUGUGACGAAGCGUGAGUGACGGUAAUGGGUAAAGAAGCACCGGCUAACUACGU